rnacentral:rRNA from 1 species
CCUUAGGAGCGGGGGCGGCGCGAAAAAUUUACAAUGUGGGCAAGCAUCAUAAGGAAGCGCCGAGUGCCAGCAACAAUACUGGCUGUCCAAGGCCUUGGAAAGCACAUGUGCAAAGCCAU